ensembl:lncRNA
GUUCCUGCAACCUGGAGCUUCCGUACUGAAAUGACAACCCUGUGGACCCCAAGGGAAAGAAGAAAGGAAGGGGUCACUGAGAGGGUCUGAUUCUGUAGGUUCAGGCUGCUGCCAGGAGAGAGGAAUGUCUACAACACUCACUAUUCCUGGAAUCUGAGCUGUCCGUGCUGAGAUUGCACAGGUCCCGUGCGUGCUGCCACUGUCUCUGUUGAGUUCCUACGUACAUCAGUCCUGCUGUGUCCGGAGAACACUGUUUUCUUGGGAUCUUCCACUGCCUCUUCUGCUCACUUCCCUGAGCCCAUGAACACUUCUUAAACAGCACAUCCAAGCAAAGAGAUGGACAAGAAAGAAUCUGACCCAG